GAUGAACGCUGACAGAAUGCUUAACACAUGCAAGUCUUUGGCGAAGCUGUGCUUGCACAGCCUAGCCAAGGCGGAUGGGUGAGUAACGCGUAAGGAACUUGCCCUGCAGUCAGGGAUAACAGACGGAAACGACUGAUAAGACCUGGUAAAGUCAGGCGGACUCAUGUCCAGCCUGAUGAAAAGAGAUGCUGCAGGAGAGCCUUGCGUCCUAUUAGCUUGUUGGUGGGGUAACGGCCCACCAAGGCGAUGAUAGGUAGCCGGCCUGAGAGGGUGGACGGCCACAAGGGGACUGAGAUACGGCCCUUACUCCUACGGGAGGCAGCAGUGGGGAAUAUUGGACAAUGGGGGCAACCCUGAUCCAGCAAUUCUGUGUGCACGAUGAAGGUUUUCGGAUUGUAAAGUGCUUUCAGCAGGGAAGAAAAAAAUGACGGUACCUGCAGAAGAAGCGACGGCUAAAUACGUG
rnacentral:rRNA from 1 species